ncrna:unclassified sequences IS605-orfB-II RNA
CAUGAUAAGACUAAGAUAGUCUUGGAUUGUAUAGAGGGUAGUCGCAGUCGCCCCAACUCCGACUCUUGCGCAGUACACUGCGCAAGAGUAAGGUGAGAAACAACUUCGGUUGGAAACUUUAAUUUUGUUAAGGAAUUAGAGAACUGU